UUUAGAUUAUAAAAUUAAGUAGUAAAGAAUUUCCUGAAACUUAAAGAAUUUGGCGGUAUUUUAACUAAUUGGAGGAACCUGUUAUUUAAUUGAUACUACACAUUUAAUUUCUCCUAAAAUUUGUUUGUAUAUCGUUGUUUUCAGAUAAUAUUAAAAAAUUAUUAUCAAUUCUAAUUAAAUUUCAUAAAUCAAAUCAAGGUGCAGCAUUUUUGGGUAUUAAUGGGUUACAAUAUAUGUAAUAUAUCACGAAUAAAAUAUUAAAAUAUAAUGAAGGUGGAUUCAAAAGUAAUUUAAAAUUAAAUAGUUUUUUUGAUUUAUAAUUUAAAAUAUGC
rnacentral:rRNA from 1 species